rnacentral:rRNA from 1 species
UACGGAGGGGGUUAGCGUUGUUCGGAAUCACUGGGCGUAAAGGGCGCGUAGGCGGCUUGAUAAGCGUGCGGUGAAAGCCCGGGGCUCAACCCCGGGUCGGCCGUGCGAACUGUCGAGCUGGAGCACUGUAGAGGCAGGUGGAAUUCCGGGUGUAGCGGUGGAAUGCGUAGAGAUCCGGAAGAACACCGGUGGCGAAGGCGGCCUGCUGGGCAGUGGCUGACGCUGAGGCGCGACAGCGUGGGGAGCAAACAGG